rnacentral:rRNA from 1 species
GACGAACGCUGGCGGCGUGCUUAACACAUGCAAGUCGAACGGAAAGGCCCUGCUUUUGUGGGGUGCUCGAGUGGCGAACGGGUGAGUAACACGUGUGUAACCUGCCCUUGACUUUGGGAUAACUCCAGGAAACUGGGGCUAAUACCGGGUAUGAUCUCCUGCUGCAUGUGGGUGGUUGGAAAGAUUCGGCGGUUGUGGAUGGACUCGAGGCUUCUCAGCUUGUUGGUCGAGUAGUGGCUUACGAGGCCUUUGACGGGUAGCCGGCCUUAGAGGGUGAACGGCGACAUGGGGACUACGAGAGGGACCAGACUCCUACGGGAGGCAGCAGGGGGAAACAUGGCAGAAUGGGGGGAAGCCUGAUGCAGCAACGCCGCGUGCGGGAUGACGGCCUUCGGGGUGUAAACCGCUUUCGCCUGUGACGAAGCGUGAGUGACGGUAAUGGGUAAAGAAGCACCGGCUAACUACGUG